AAGGCGGAAUGGGUGAUAGCUGGCUCUUUCUCUGCGAGGUCGUUUGAACGGCUUCGCAGCGGAGGGCGAGAGGAAAGUCCGGGCUUCGCAGGGCAGGAUGCCGGAUAACGUCCGGCUGAGGUAACUCACGGGAAAGCGCAACAGAAAGUAAACUGCCUGGGCUGGACCCAGGUGAGGGUGAAACGGCGGUGUAAGAGACCACCGGCCAAGUGGCAACACAAGGCGCAUGGCAAGCCCCAUCCGAAGCAAGACGAAUAGAGAGCAUGAGGGGCUUCACGGAGCCUUCUUUUGGACUUGCCCGGUCCGGGAGAAAUCCCUGCUCUCUGGUAGGUCGCUUGAGGCUGUCAGUAAUGGCAGUCCUAGAUGGAUUAUCACCGUUCACAGAACCCGGCUUAUAGUUCCGCCUUUUUA
rnacentral:RNase_P_RNA from 1 species